rnacentral:precursor_RNA from 1 species
UAUUGGCCAUGAUUGUAGCUCUGCUUUUCGCGGUGCUUUUGUUGCUAAUGCACAUUUAGCACACGAACGGGAUAGCUGCUCAAGUCGGAU